rnacentral:rRNA from 1 species
GUAACGGCGAGUGAAGCGGCAACAGCUCAAAUUUGAAAUCUGGCCCCCAGGGCCCGAGUUGUAAUUUGCAGAGGAUGCUUUUGGCGCGGCGCCUUCCGAGUUCCCUGGAACGGGACGCCAUAGAGGGUGAGAGCCCCGUCUGGUCGGACGCCAAGCCAGUGUAAAGCUCCUUCGACGAGUCGAGUAGUUUGGGAAUGCUGCUCUAAAUGGGAGGUAUAUGUCUUCUAAAGCUAAAUAUUGGCCAGAGACCGAUAGCGCACAAGUAGAGUGAUCGAAAGAUGAAAAGCACUUUGAAAAGAGGGUUAAACAGUACGUGAAAUUGUUGAAAGGGAAGCGCUUGUGACCAGACUUGGGCCCGGUGAAUCAUCCAGCGUUCUCGCUGGUGCACUUCGCCGGGCUCAGGCCAGCAUCAGUUCGCCGCGGGGGAUAAAAGCUUCGGGAACGUGGCUCCCUCGGGAGUGUUAUAGCCCGUUGCACAAUACCCUGCGGUGGACUGAGGUUCGCGCUCCGCAAGGAUGCUGGCGUAAUGGUCAUCAGCGACCCGUCUUGAAACACGGACCAAGGAGUCGUCUUCGUAUGCGAGUGUUCGGGUGUCAAACCCCUACGCGUAAUGAAAGUGAACGCAGGUGAGAGCUUCGGCGCAUCAUCGACCGAUCCUGAUGUUCUCGGAUGGAUUUGAGUAAGAGCAUACGGGGCCGGACCCGAAAGAAGGUGAACUAUGCCUGUAUAGGGUGAAGCCAGAGGAAACUCUGGUGGAGGCUCGCAGCGGUUCUGACGUGCAAAUCGAUCGUCAAAUAUGGGCAUGGGGGCGAAAGA